GCCCGUAUAGCUUAGUGGUAGAGCAUCAGUCUUGUAUCAAGACGCUGAACAGCAGGUCGCGCGCCGCUACUCACAACUGAAGGUCACUCGUUCAAACCGGGUUGCGGGCA
rfam:Pseudozyma antarctica DNA, scaffold: scaffold_v10015, strain JCM 10317, whole genome shotgun sequence.